UACGAAGGGUGCAAGCGUUAAUCGGAAUUACUGGGCGUAAAGCGCGCGUAGGUGGUUCAGCAAGUUGAAGGUGAAAUCCCCGGGCUCAACCUGGGAACUGCCUCCAAAACUACUGAGCUAGAGUACGGUAGAGGGUAGUGGAAUUUCCUGUGUAGCGGUGAAAUGCGUAGAUAUAGGAAGGAACACCAGUGGCGAAGGCGACUACCUGGACUGAUACUGACACUGAGGUGCGAAAGCGUGGGGAGCAAACAGGAUUAGAAACCCCCGUAGUCC
rnacentral:rRNA from 1 species